GUAGAUAAACAAGGUAACAACCUCAAAAAUA
rnacentral:rRNA from 1 species